CAACAUGCAAUCAGGGGAUGCCGCUGCAGACUGGGAAGAUAAAGAUGUUGCAAAGAUCUACCUGUCGUUUCUGGAA